ACGGGAGGCAGCAGUGGGGAAUAUUGGGCAAUGGGCGAAAGCCUGACCCAGCAACGCCGCGUGAAGGAAGAAGGCCUUCGGGUUGUAAACUUCUUUUGUCAGGGACGAAGGACGUGACGGUACCUGACGAAUAAGCAACGGCUAACUACGUGCCAGCAGCCGCGGUAAUACGUAGGUUGCAAGCGUUGUCCGGAUUUACUGGGUGUAAAGGGCGUGUAGGCGGAUUUGCAAGUCAGAUGUGAAAUCCCGGGGCUCAACCCCGGAACUGCAUUUGAAACUGUAGACCUUGAGUAUCGGAGAGGCAAGCGGAAUUCCUAGUGUAGCGGUGAAAUGCGUAGAUAUUGGGAGGAACACCAGUGGCGAAGGCGGCUUACUGGACUGUAACUGACACUGAGGCUCGAAAGCGUGGGGAGCAAACAGGAUUAGAUACCCUGGUA
rnacentral:rRNA from 1 species